AAAGAAACAUAAAAAAGAGACAGAGUUUUUUUUAUUUAUUUAUUUUUCUUCUUGAAAGUGCUUUAGUUACUGAUUGGGAGAGGAAAAAAAAUAAAUAGAGAGUAUUUAUUUUGGCGGAGGUUGGGAGAAAUGUGACCAGUCACCACAUGUUUGAAACCCUAAAGAAAAAAAAAAAAAGAAAAAAAAGAGAGUAGCGGUGUAUAGUAUAUAGUGUGGUGUGUCCCUACUUGGCUUCUGCGAUAAGAGGAAGUGUUGCAGCACCACACAAAGAAACCCACCAACACAGUUCUGCUCAAAACACAAAAACAAAACACAGUGAGAGAGAGAGAGAGAGUGAGAGAGUGUGAGAGAGAGUGUUUUUGUAAUGGAUAAAAGCUGUCAUCCCUCUGCAGAGUCUACUAAUACUAGUAUAACCACAACCUCUGCUACCAACACCGCCACCAACACCAACACCAGGGAUCAAUAUCUCAGGCACCUCAACAAGCUUUCCCAAAAGAUCUCCAAACCCAUCAUUAAAAAACCCACCUUUGAUCAUCCUCACCCUCAGCCACCGUCACAGCCCCAGCCUCAGCCUCAGGCCCAACCUCAAAACCCAAACCCGCAGGCCCAGCAGAACUUGCAGCAUCAGCCACCUGUGUACAACAUCAACAAGAACGAAUUCAGGGAUGUGGUUCAGAGACUCACCGGCUCGCCUGCGCACGACCGCAUCUCAACGCCUCCUCCCAUUCAACAGCCCAAGCCUCCCAGCUCGCGCCUCCAGCGGAUUCGCCCUCCUCCCUUGCCGCAGAUUACCAACCGCCCGCCUCCGCUCCUCAAUCCCAACACCCUCCCCCGCCCUCAACUCCCCAACGUCAACUCUAACUCCGUCUCCUUCAACAACUUUUCCGUCUUCGCUAGACCCCCCGCGCCGUUAUCUCCUCUCCCGCCCUUCCCCACAGUCCACGCGCCCGCUGAGUCCCCCAUCUCCGCCUACAUGCGCGAUCUGCAGAAUCUCGUCGGUUCAAACCCCAAACACUUCUCUGGCUUCUCCCCCUUGCCGCCCCAGCUUCACCCUCAGCAAGAACAACAGCAACAGCAGCAAUCGCAGCACCAAGCCAUGGUUCCUUCGCAAGCUUCGUUUCCGAUGCCGUCUUCUCCUGUGCCGUUUGGGUGCUUGAAUUCCCAGCUGGCGUCUUACCCUCUGCUUUCGCCGGGGCUUCUGUUUUCUCCAACUUCGGGACAGUUGGCGUUUCCGCCGCUUCCGCUUUCACCCACCGUGCCGGUUCCGAGCCCUCGAUGGAGAGGGCUUUGAGAGGGUGAGCUGUGACAGAAGUGCAUGGCUUUCCUGACACUGAGUAGAUACAUGAUUGUGGCAAAGUUCACUAAAUAUCUGAUUCCCAAAGUUGAACUAUACUGCUUUUGGCACGACGAGUCUCAGAUUCCUUAGAGUGUUUCUUGCAUUCAUGGUGGAUUAAUGACUGAAUUUUCGCCACACAAUAACUAGAGAAAAUAAUGCCAUGCAAUCAGUGUGGACUCAAUAAGUCAAUUUUAAUUUUCUUUCUCCAGUCCGGCAAGUACCUGAAGAGAUUGAUUCUUUUACUGAUAAAAACACAUGGUGGGUCUUCUGUGCUGGAGAUGAACGAAUCCUUUUGUAAGGAAUGAGUUUUUGCAAAUAUUACUAUCACAACAAUAAAGCGUAGUAGUAUCUUUUUCUUUUAAUAAAUUGAUUUAGACUUUGUAACAUAAAGUUGAUGAACUUGUAAUAUAAAAGAGGAUAAUUCUUUCUGGUA